rnacentral:rRNA from 1 species
GACGAACGCUGGCGGCGUGCUUAACACAUGCAAGUCGAACGGCAAGGCCCUGCUUUUGUGGGGUUCUCGAGUGGCGAACGGGUGAGUAACACGUGAGUAACCUGCUCUUGACUUUGGGGUAACUUCAGGAAACUGGGGCUAAUACCGGAUAGCAUCUCCUGCUCCAUUGUGGGCGGUGGAACUUUUCGGCGGUUGCGGAUGGACUGGCGGCUUAUCAGCUUGUUGGUUGGGUAGUGGUUUACCAAGGCUUUGACGGGUCGCCGGCACGGGAGGGUGACCGGCGACAUGGGGACUGAGGGACGCAGCAGACUCGAACGGUGGACAACGGGCGGGAGCAUGGCACAGUGGGCGGGAGCGGGAGGAAGAGACCUUGCGGGCGGAAAGACGGCCUGUGGGGAGAGAACAGCUUUCGCCUAUGACGAAGCGUGAGUGACGGUAAUGGGUGAAGAAGCACCGGCUAACUUCGUG